GCGCGAGUAGUUCAGUGGUAGAACGCCUAACUGAUAAUUAGGAGGUCCCAGGUUCGAUCCCUGGCUCGCGCA
rfam:Candidatus Yanofskybacteria bacterium RIFCSPLOWO2_12_FTLL_43_11b rifcsplowo2_12_scaffold_6792, whole genome shotgun sequence.